rnacentral:misc_RNA from 1 species
UGUUGGAAGGUUUGGGGUGCUCUUCUUGGUGCCAGCAAGACUCAUUUGCGCCUUGAUCUUGCAAAGCUUGCAGCUCAAAAGAUUUUGGACUUGGAACCAAGUAGUGCAGCUCCGUAUGUAGUCUUGUCAGACCUUUAUUGUAUUGUUGGAAAGAAGAAAGACGAGGAACGAGUUAGGCUGGCAAAGAAAUUGAAAAGAAUAAAGAAAAUUCCAGGUUGCAGUUGGGUUUUG